rnacentral:lncRNA from 1 species
GUUGGGGAGCACGAGGGGGUGGCUCGAGGCGGGAGCGAGGGGCAGGAAGAAAUAGCAGGAAGACCCAGGGGCAGGAGGCCGGUGUUCAAGCGUCGAGGAACGUUUCAUCCCUUCUGAAUCCCAGGCCUCGCUGGACCACGGACCCGCCAGGUUCUCCCGCAACUUGCGGAGCUCCUGGACCGGCCCUUCCCAGAGGCGCAGCGCUGAGUCCCAGGAGCAGGACCUGAACCAGGAAGGGGAGGGGCGAGCACAGUCCUGCCUCCUCCUCCCCGCACAGUGCUGGGGGAAUGACCCCCACUGCCUUCUUCUCCUCCCCCAACACUGCAGGGGGAAUGACCCCCACUGCCUCCUCCUCCCAACACACUGCAGGGGGAAUGACCCCCACUGUCUUCUCCUCCCAACACACUGCAGGGGGAAUGACCCCCACUGUCUUCUCCUCCCAACACACUGCAGGGGGAAUGACCCCCACUGCCUCCUCCUCCCAACACACUGCAGGGGGAAUGACCCCCACUGUCUUCUCCUCCCCCCACACUGCAGGGGGAAUGACCCCCACUGUCUUCUCCUCCCCCCACACUGCAGGGGGAAUGACCCCCACUGUCUUCUCCUCCCCACACACUGCAGGGGGAAUGACCCCCACUGCCUCCUCCUCCCAACACACUGCAGGGGUAAUGACCCCCACUGCCUCCUCCUUCCCCACACACUGCAGGGGGAAUGACCCCCACUGCCUUCUCCUCCCCCAACACUGCAGGGGGAAUGACCCCCACUGCCUCCUGCUCCCCACACACACACUGCAGGGGGAGUGACCCCCAUAUUUUAAUGCAGUGGUUUCUCUGGUCACUCACGGUCCAGCACUAGCACGCAGCAGUCGGGGAAAUGCUGUGGGUAUGAGACGGCCUGGAUUUUGAAGGCGCUGCAUGAAAAAGAAUGUAGAGAAUCUGAAUGCAUUUUAUGUAUAGAUUGCAUGUUGAAAUGAUGCUGUUGGGAUAUAUUAGGCAAAAUAAAAUAUAUCACAAUUU